rnacentral:lncRNA from 1 species
UCGCUAUUUAAAAGGAGAAUCCAAAUUUUAGGCCAUUGCCGAAGACUUGUUUGAUACUCUUAGAUGAGCCAGAUUUGAGUGUUAUUUUUUAUGAUAAUGAAGAAGCUGAUGUUGAAGAAAAUGAAGUUUAAACAAUUAAGGAUUAAAUAAAAUGCUUAGUAAUGGAUUGUUCCAACUUACCAUAGAGGAAGAUUGACGAAUUUAACAAUAUUUUUAGUGGGGGUAUUUUUGGCUAGUCCUUGAGAUGAUUUUUUUUUACGUAUAUACACAGCAAUUGCUAUAACUUUUCUUUCUAUUCAUCUUUCGUUGCAGCACACGAGUUAUUGAAAUGCCUAGCAAUCAUUGGUUGUCUACUCCAUUGCCUAGGCAAAAAAAAAUACUGACGAAGAAAUGCGAAUAAAAACUUAUUUUCACAUAUUACACUCUCAAUCUCUAUUACAAAUUUCACAUAUAUCCCCCUUUGUUCAUUAGUACUUAUAUUUCUUAUACAGCUAAUACAGCAUGCACAGUAAGGAACAAGGACUCAAAAGGAUAAAGGGGGCAGAAAUAUUGGGAAAUUCAUAUUAAUACAAAUUUAAGGUCCACACACUCUUAACAAACAUGGAGCAACAAAAAUAAAAUUUGACUCCGUGAAAUAGCUGCUUAGGUGUUUGAACAAAUACUUAGUAAGCAGGCAAGCUCAUGGACAUGACUAUGGAUUGCAUCAUUGAUGCUAGUACAUUUUUUUCCCUAUAGUUAUGCCUGUUCACCAUCACAAAUGAUCCAGAACCUGUUUAGCUAUAAAUCUCAAUCAGCAGUCAAGCUUUGUGCACAUCAAGUUGAUACAUGUUACAAUCAAGAUACAUAGCCUCACCAAAUAUUAUGGGUCUACCGUAAUUACCACACUUCCAUUUUUGGCAACAAAAAAGAGAGAGAGAAAGAGAACACAAAUAGUAUUAAGUGUUAACACAAAACUGUAGAUACUUUGGCCACUGUAAGUAAAAAAGUAUUAUUGCUAUUAUUGAGCGCAGGGAAACAAGUACAAGCAAUCAAUUUGAAAAGGAGAAUCAUUACAACUAAUUAUACAAGUGAUAAAAUUUGAAUACUAUUACCUACGCUACAUCUCAUGAUCAAACCCACUUAAAUAAUACUAACAUAUUCAGAGGAUGGCUUAAUUAAAUAUGUGUGUGCGCACGCGCGUGCGCUCAGUGAAAUUCCUUUUACUAACACCCACUGCACCAUUUAUCUUAGAUACCAUAUUGUGUGCUUUUUCUAUGUCAAUUUAAUUCAUACGCAAAUGUUGUUUCGUUUCUCCA